rfam:Agrilus planipennis Contig71610, whole genome shotgun sequence.
CCUCUCGUAGUCCAGUGGUUAGAGCAUUGGCGUGUGAAGCCAAAGGUCCCGGGUUCCAUUCCCGGCGAGAGUA